GGACAACAGUUGGAAACGACUGCUAAUACCGCAUAAGCCCACGACCCGGCAUCGGGUAGAGGGAAAAGGAGCAAUCCGCUUUGAGAUGGCCUCGCGUCCGAUUAGCUAGUUGGUGAGGUAAUGGCCCACCAAGGCGACGAUCGGUAGCCGGACUGAGAGGUUGAACGGCCACAUUGGGACUGAGACACGGCCCAGACCCCUACGGGAGGCAGCAGUGGGGAAUAUUGCACAAUGGGGGAAACCCUGAUGCAGCGACGCCGCGUGGAGGAAGAAGGUCUUCGGAUUGUAGACUCCUGUUGUUGAGGAAGAUAAUGACGGUACUCAACAAGGAAGUGACGGCUAACUACGUGCCAGCAGCCGCGGUAAAACGUAGGUCACAAGCGUUGUCCGGAAUUACUGGGUGUAAAGGGAGCGCAGGCGGGAAGACAAGUUGGAAGUGAAAUCCAUGGGCUCAACCCAAGAACUGCUUUCAAAACUGUUUUUCUUGAGUAGUGCAGAGGUAGGCGGAAUUCCCGGUGUAGCGGUGGAAUGCGUAGAUAUCGGGAGGAACACCAGUGGCGAAGGCGGCCUACUGGGCACCAACUGACGCUGAGGCUCGAAAGUGUGGGUAGCAAACAGGAUUAGAUACCCUGGUAGUCCACACUGUAAACGAUGAUUACUAGGUGUUGGAGGAUUGACCCCUUCAGUGCCGCAG
rnacentral:rRNA from 1 species